rnacentral:rRNA from 1 species
UGGGGAAUUUUGCACAAUGGGGGAAACCCUGAUGCAGCGACGCCGCGUGAUUUAGAAGGCCUUCGGGUUGUAAAAAUCUUUUCUAUGGGAAGAAAAUGACAGUACCAUAGGAAUAGGGACCGGCUAAUUACGUGCCAGCAGCCGCGGUAAUACGUAAGGUCCGAGCGUUGUCCGGAAUCAUUGGGCGUAAAGGGUACGUAGGCGGGUAAGCAAGUUAGAAGUGAAAUCCUAUAGCUCAACUAUAGUAAGCUUUUAAAACUGCUCAUCUUGAGGUAUGGAAGGGAAAGUGGAAUUCCUAGUGUAGCGGUGAAAUGCGCAGAUAUUAGGAGGAAUACCGGUGGCGAAGGCGACUUUCUGGCCAUAACCUGACGCUGAGGUACGAAAGCGUGGGUAGCAAACAGG